AAAAAGUUUUAUUUUAGCUUAAAAAUAUAUUAAAAUUUUAUUUUACAUGUAAAUUUUUGUGAAUAGUUAAAAUUAUAAUUUUAUAUUUUAAAAAUAAUUAUAGAUUUCAGUAAUAAAGAUUAAAAGUUAUAUAAAUAUAUAUUUAGUAAUAAUUAUUAAUUAUUAACAAAAAUUGUGCCAGCAGUUGCGGUUAUACAAUUAAUAUAAAUAUAUUUUAUAAGUAAUUAGUUUGAUUAUAAUUAAAUGUUUAAUAUAAAUUGAUUUAUUUAAGGUUAAAUUUUAUUGAUUAAUAAAAUUAACAUAAAAUUAUUUUAGGCUAAUAAAAUUAAAAUAUAAACUAGGAUUAGAUACCCUAUUAUUUUAAUUAUAAAAUAAAUACUGUAGUAGUAUUAGUUAUAUUCUUGAAACUAAAAAAAUUUGGCGGUAUUUUAAUCUUAUUAGAGGAACUUGUUCUGUAAUCGAUAUUCCUCGUUUAAUUUUACUAAGUUAAUUUAUUUGUAUAUCGUUGUUGGAAGAAUAUUAUAAGAAUAAAAUAAUUUUCUAAAAUUUAAAUUUAAAUUAAUAUCAAAUCAAGGUGCAGUUAAUGAUUUAGAAGAAAUGAGUUACAAUAAAAUUAUUUAUAUGAAUUUAAUUUUGAAUAAAUUUAAUGAAGGUGGAUUUAAUAGUAAAUUAAUUUUAAUAAAAUUAAUUGAUUUUAGUUCUAAAAUAUGUACAUAUUGCCCGUCGCUCUUUUUAAUUUAUUAAAAAAAGAUAAGUCGUAACAUAGUAGAUGUACUGGAAAGUGUAUCUAGAAAGAC
rnacentral:ncRNA from 1 species